CCUACGGGGGGCAGCAGUGGGGAAUAUUGGACAAUGGGGGGAACCCUGAUCCAGCCAUGCCGCGUGUGUGAAGAAGGCCCUCGGGUUGUAAAGCACUUUCAGUGAGGAAGAACGCCUGGUGGUUAAUACCCAUCAGGAAAGACAUCACUCACAGAAGAAGCACCGGCUAACUCCGUGCCAGCAGCCGCGGUAAUACGGAGGGUGCGAGCGUUAAUCGGAAUUACUGGGCGUAAAGCGCGCGUAGGUGGCUUGAUAAGCCGGUUGUGAAAGCCCCGGGCUCAACCUGGGAACGGCAUCCGGAACUGUCAAGCUAGAGUGCAGGAGUGGAAGGUGGAAUUCCCGGUGUAGCGGUGAAAUGCGUAGAGAUCGGGAGGAAUACCAGUGGCGAAGGCGGCCUUCUGGACUGACACUGACACUGAGGUGCGAAAGCGUGGGUAGCAAACAGGAUUAGAUACCCUAGUAGUC
rnacentral:rRNA from 1 species